GGGCCGGUAGUUCAGGGGUAGAACGCCCGCCUCGCACGCGGGAGGUCGGGGGUUCAAGUCCCCCCCGGUCCA
rnacentral:tRNA from 1 species